rnacentral:rRNA from 1 species
UACACACCGCCAGUCACGCCAUGGAAGCUGGGGGAACCUGAAGCCGGUGGGCUAACCGCAAGGGGGCAGCCGUCAAAGGUCAAUUCAGUGACUGGGGCG